ACAAAUUAUUAGUGAUGGGCGAUACCAGGAUUUUUAAUUCGAUACCGAUACCGAUACUUUUAAGAUUGGUAUCGGCCGAUACCGAUACCUAUUUCGAUACCAAAAUGAACACAAAAUUUCAAUUUUCGAUACCGGAAAUGAGUACUUAAAUUGCUAGUAUCGGCUACUUUCGAUACCUGCCGGUCAGCGGAAAAACAUUUUAUAUCACUGUAUGUAACCUAAAUAAAGCUAUAUGUAAACCAAAAGCCUGAAACGUAAUAAAUAUUUUCUAUACAUGACUUGGCGCAUUUGGAAUAUUAAGACUUAUUUUAGUGGUUCAUUAUAAGUCUUAUUCAACCUAACCUGCGAUCAGGGGACCAAGAAGUGAAAUUAAACAAGUCGUUUAAAAAAGGGUACAAGUAUCGAACGAUACCACGUCAGUAAUCGAUACCGAUACCGCUGUUUGUGGUAUCGCUGGUAUCGAAUACCGAGUACUCGGUAUCGCCCAUCACUA